GACGAACCUUGCUAACGUUAUUCGGAAUCAUUGGGCUUAAAGGGCGCGUAGGCGGCGGCGUAAGUUCGUGGUGAAAUCCCAUCGGCUCAACCGUGGAAUCGCUUCGAAUACUGCGUCGCUCGAGUGGGAUAGGGGACCGCAGAACUGCCGGUGGAGCGGUGAAAUGUGUUGAUAUCGGCGGGAAUGCCAGUGCCGAAAGGGGCGGUCUGGACCCUCACUGACGCUGAGGCGCGAAAGCUAGGGGAGCAAACGGG
rnacentral:rRNA from 1 species